rnacentral:rRNA from 1 species
UACGGGGGGAGCAAGCGUUGUUCGGAAUUACUGGGCGUAAAGGGUGCGUAGGCGGGUCUUUAAGUCAGGGGUGAAAUCCUGGAGCUCAACUCCAGAACUGCCUUUGAUACUGAAGAUCUUGAGUUCGGGAGAGGUGAGUGGAACUGCGAGUGUAGAGGUGAAAUUCGUAGAUAUUCGCAAGAACACCAGUGGCGAAGGCGGCUCACUGGCCCGAUACUGACGCUGAGGCACGAAAGCGUGGGGAGCAAACAGG